rnacentral:tRNA from 1 species
GCGCUCAUAGCUCAGCUGGAUAGAGCAUUUGAUUGCGGUUCAAAAGGCCAGAGGUUCGAAUCCUCUUGAGCGUACCA